GCAAUCCUCCAGCCUCCAUCUCCUGAGUAGCUGGAACUACAGAAUGUCCUGUGUGCUUUUGGUAUGAUCAUUAUGCUGGACUCACAUGAGAGAUGGAAAAGAUGGGGAAACUGAGUGCUAGAAAUCCAAGGUUCAUAAAGUUGACAUGACUUUUCUAGAGAAGAUGAGAAGGAACUAAUUUUAAACACCUGGCCUUGGUCUGAUGCAUCCGUUACCUCCACCAGAAAGGAUGGCUAAAGGCAGAAGAGCCUGAGAGAGGAGACCCACGUGGCACACACUGCCGUACACUUCCACAAAGAGUAAGUGAAAACUCAAUGCAGAAUUGAACAUAGUUGACGAUGAGGUCUCCACAGUGAGUUUGUGGAAGUUCCAGCAGUUUGA
rnacentral:lncRNA from 1 species